GGGGAUCGGCACCUUCGUAGAGGAGAUGUGACGCUCGGCACGCGAUCGUUGGUGCCCUAGAAGCAGCAGGGAAGGAUGGUCACGGUGGCGGGUCUUGAAGCUCGCCGGCGAGAUCCGAAACAGCGACAUUGGCCGCACAUCAAGCUCUCGAACCUCGCGGGUGGGGGAAAAGGGAAUGCGGGGAAGAGCUCGGGCUUUAUAGGGGUCGGAUUGGGGCUUGGAUUGGAAAUUCCCGUGAAAACUGGGAUUCGGUUUGGGUCCCGGGGAGGAGUCCUGCUCGGUGCCGAAACGAGGAAGGAGAAGGCGCUGCGCGAUGAGUCCCGCAUGGCAGCGAGAGAAGGGGUGGGACCCGGCUGUCAGCAGCAGAAAGGAGGGAGGGGGACAGCGUGCUGGGCUGAGAAAGAAAUGGGCCGGGGUAGGCCAGAAUCAGGUGGGGAGAGUUUUGAUUUGUUUGUUUUUUUUUCCUUUUUCUUUUAUUUGCAAACCAUUUGAAACUCAUUUAAAAAUACCUUUAAAUCAUUUUGAAUUUUGAGUUCAAAAACACUCAGCACAAUAAACAAAAUGCAGAAGCAUGAGUGCACAAAAAUAUUGCUACACCCUAUGAUAAAUUUUAAUUUUGACAAAAAUUAUUUAUUUACUAGAUUAAAUGCCCACAAAAUGCUUAAAUAAAUCAAAUUAAAUCCUAUUAAUUGGAAAUCAAAUUUUGGGUGUUACAAACUCUACCCCCCUUAAAAUGAAUCUCGUCCUCGAGAUUCGAAAGAGACACGGAUCCUCUAAGAGAACACAGGAUAAAGAUCUUGGUAACUCUUUCAACCUCACAACUUGUAUACCAAAUGUAACCACUUAUGUCUCGGGAUCACAACUUGUGAAUAGAGUUUGCAUAGAAUGUCUAUUAUUCAUAAUUGAUCGAAGUCCAUCUUAACUACCAACUUUUUGACUUAUGCAUCUUUCUUCAAAGGCAAGAUGAUCAUAAUCUUCCCACAUAUCCAUGAGAGGUGUCAUAUUGGGCUCCUGAUCCAUGGGACACUACACUCCCCGUCAUCAAGUGACCAACGUCAGUAACACGAGCAAGGAUAGAUGAUCAUAACCAUAAAAUAUCUCAGAAGGCAAUUAUCACUUCAAGGUAGUUUUAAAAUGCAUCAUCUCGUGAUAUCAAGAUACUACCCCCCUUAAGACGAGGUUGAUUGGGGGACACUAGGGACUAGUUCUCCUGUCCUUUUUAGACGCUACACAUCAUAGUAUUUUAAAUUCCUUGUACCAAGUCUCUUAACCCAGGGUUGGUUUCAACACUAAGUUCCAUCUAUUGGUACCUUUAUCGCAAUUAAGUUGUUUCACUCUCAUAUUGUAUAUGUAACUUUGUAGCCUUUGGUGUCAUCUGAUCCUCAUACACAACUCUUAAUCCAUGAGUAUCAGCAAUGACAUAUACCUCCAUUGAUAUUCUCUAAAUGAGAUGAUAUUCUUGAUCCAAAACAAAUUUACCCAGCGUUUGUGAUACUCACGUAUGAUCCAACACUAGUCAAUCCUUCUCGUUGUAACUUCUUUAACUAGGCUACCCCCCUUAAGAAAAGUCAACUAGGGGACAAAAGGAAGGUAGCUUGCAUAUUUUCCAGACAAGUUGACUAGCACUGAGAGCUUUUGACAUCCUAAAGAACUUGUGUGCAAAAGAAUAAAUAGGUAUCCUGAAAUUUUCUCAUGAUAUGGAAACACCAGCGUAGUAAAACAGGUAUAACUCUUAUUCUGUCAUUCCAAUAGAGUUGUAGCUUAUACUGUUAGAAAACUUAUGAAAUUCCCUACAACUUUCAUGUAGGAGACCUCCUUAGAUUCUGUCUUUAAACUUAGGUAAAACAGUCAAACUUAAUAUCCAUCCUGACAAUGUCUCAGCAAAGGUGCAGUAACUUCCAGAGGUUAUAUCUCGAGCUCCUUAACUCAUCUGGAGAUGAUCCUUAUAUUGUUGAAAAGCUUAUGAAAUCCUCUACAACUUUCGUAUACAACUCUUUCCCAGAUUCUGAAGUUAAUUCAGCCGAAAUUAGGAAAUUCCAGAUCUGUCCAGAUUUUGAAACAGAAAAGAAACAUCCAAGUUUAAAUGUCAUAUCUCAGGUUCUACUUGUCCAAUAAUGUUCCAGCUUAUACCGUUGGAAAACUUAGCAAAUUGUCUAAUACUUUUCUAUAGAACACUUUUCCAACUUCUAUAGUUAUAUAUGUCCAAACAGUAAGCAACCGAAACUGGUCCAGAUUCUUGACAGCCCAUCUGUAUCAUCUUGUGAUUUUUGUAACUUCCAAAUCAUAAUAGCUAUGAGGGUGAUUCUUGCGGUCAGAGAAAGAUCUUGAAGUCUAGUUGUUCCUAGAAAAAGUUGAUAGACUUUGCACGACCAAAACUUGAGAUACACCAGAAUCAUUGCAGACUGCUCCAGAAAUCAGCAAAAGAUAGAAACAAGAGAUAGCCAAACCCAACUACUUAUUUCAUUAAUCCUUAUGCCUUAGGUCUAUAAACUAAUGAAAUUGUGAAGUAAUUCCACAAGAUCAUUGCAAUCAUUACAAAGAUCCAAAUCAAACAUAAGCAAAAUAACAAACCAACUAAGCACACUUCACUCAACUUGCGAUAUUAUCGUUCUCUUCAUUAAGGGCAAAGAUCCUAAAACCUAUGUUUCAAAGACGCAAGAAGGUGGUAAGAAAAGGUUCUAAAAGCAUACCAAAUUAAGGAGCGAAGAUGAGAACAAGUAUACUCUUAAAAUAAGCAACAAGGUGGAGACAAAUAGCAAAGAUAGGGAUAUAGUAUGGAUGAAAAUACCAAGGUUUAUAGAGCAAGGAUUUUAUGACAAUUUCAAAACCUUAAGACGACCAAUUUCUAACUAGGCUUGCGUCCUACAGUCAGCAUUGCUCUGAUACCACUUUGUAAUACCCGAUUUUAAGGACAAAACCAGAUAUGCACCAUAUGUGAGUUUUAGAAGUCAAAUCUCACAUAUAGCUACAAAUAAGGGGUAAUAUCAAAAGACAAUGCAUAAAUAUAUAACAUACUAAGUAUAAAAGAGAUAACCUUGAUAGCAAACAGCGGAUAGACAACUACGAACUUUGGGUAUUAACUUCUCUCUACAGGAUCCAACUGACUGGUUGAUCACAAGCCUAAACUUCUCCUGAGGUUUGGGGGAAAUAGCAAGAGUGAGUCCAUGUCGAACUCCACAAGUAUAGCAACUAGAUUGUAUAGAUCCCACAAUCUCAUGAUCAAUGUGACAUAUAUAAUGUAAAGCUUUAAACAAUAAAUAUGAGCAUAUUAACACACAAGAUUCAUCACCCUUAAUGUAGAUGUCCCCAAGGCCGCUCCUGACCGUGAGCUCGGCUAGUAUACUAGUUUUAACACUCUGCAGAGGUUGCACAUCUUUACCCAUGAGUCAUGAUUUACCCUUUCGCCCGAGGUGAUCAGCCUCUUAACCCACUUCCAAGGAAGGUCGGCAGGGAUCACUAUGAAGCCUUUCAAAAGUUCGUCUGACAUGUUAGGGCCGCAAGGUUUCCUUUGCGAGCAGAUAUAGAUACCCCCCUUCCGAAUGGCACAAUGACGCGCAGCAUAUACACAUAGGGACAGGGGCUCGCACUAUACCCGUGUCGGUUCAGCCCCUCCGCCCUUUCGGGUAAUCUCUAACAAGCUAGAAAAGGUCUUCAUACUGAGCUAAAGCCAGAGCCAUUAUAGCCCUCAUGGUUGCACUGUUGUCCCGGGUGAUCACGUACAGAUAAACCAUCAAGUUGCUAAAAAGUCAUUUUUAUCAUUUAUUACUUAACAUUAAUCUAGUCACAGGAUCAUGGUCACAGAAAUAAAAUCCAAAUGCUAUACUUGCCUUGAUCCAAAUGCUCUUGCUUAUCCUUUUGGUUCUGCUGGUGUCACCUGUUACCAAAGCUCUGAUCUUGAUCACCAAAAACUGCUCCCCGACUAAACUCGAUCAUCGAUCACACAAACAAUCGAAGAAAACAUACAUGAAACAAACAAGGCUACAAUUAGAACAAUACACCAAACAGUGGUAAAACAAAUAUAAAAGUUUAUCAAAAUAUUAUACGCAGCGCUACGAUCACACAGACGUAAAGUUCACGAAAACCGGAAUUAAAACGUGAAAGAUAUGAAUUUCCCAAGAUUUUCUAUAGAGAAAUAAUUAAUUAACUGCUACUGCAGAAUUAAAAAGUUUCAAAACAGUAAACUAAUAAUUCUAACUUGUAGAGCUCGGAAAUACGAAUCUAAUGAAAUUUGAAUGGACAAAAACGAAGUUAUAAUGAAUAUUUUAUGAGCAAAACAAAAUCAGUGGCAAUCUUGUAAAUAGCAGAAAGCGCAUUUUUUCGUUUCCAGUUCCGGUGCGGUGCCUCCAUUGCCGGCCAAAAGAAAGCUCGCCGGCGACGACAGGCUUCUCGAUUCCGAGCACCGUUUCGUGAAAGGAAAACACCGCGGGGUAGAGGAGCUCACCGCGAGUUCACCUAGGCGGUUUUCAAGGCGCGGAUUGACCUCGGGGAAGACGUGCCGCGCGGAUCCGCGAACGAGAACCCCCUGCGAUGUUCGGCGACAGUUAGGGAAGAGUAGAGGCCGGUAGAGCGUAUGGGGAGGGGAUCGGCACCUUCGUAGAGGAGAUGUGACGCUCGGCACGCGAUCGUUGGUGCCCUAGAAGCAGCAGGGAAGGAUGGUCACGGUGGCGGGUCUUGAAGCUCGCCGGCGAGAUCCGAAACAGCGACAUUGGCCGCACAUCAAGCUCUCGAACCUCGUGGGUGGGGGAAAAGGGAUUGCGGGGAAGAGCUCGGGCUUUAUAGGGGUCGGAUUGGGGCUUGGAUUGGAAAUUCCCGUGAAAACUGGGAUUCGGUUUGGGUCCCGGGGAGGAGUCCUGCUCGGUGCCGAAACGAGGAAGGAGAAGGCGCUGCGCGAUGGGUCCUGCAUGGCAGCGAGAGAAGGGGUGGGACCCGGCUGUCAGCAGCAGAAAGGAGGGAGGGGGACAGCGUGCUGGGCUGAGAAAGAAAUGGGCCGGGGUAGGCCAGAAUCAGGUGGGGAGAGUUUUGAUUUGUUUGUUUUUUUUCCUUUUUCUUUUAUUUGCAAACCAUUUGAAACUCAUUUAAAAAUACCUUUAAAUCAUUUUGAAUUUUGAGUUCAAAAACACUCAGCACAAUAAACAAAAUGCAGAAGCAUGAGUGCACAAAAAUAUUGCUACACCCUAUGAUAAAUUUUAAUUUUGACAAAAAUUAUUUAUUUACUAGAUUAAAUGCCCACAAAAUGCUUAAAUAAAUCAAAUUAAAUCCUAUUAAUUGGAAAUCAAAUUUUGGGUGUUACACUUACUUUGUAUUUAUUGCCUGAUCAAAACGGGAUCCGAGGAGGGGAAUGUCAUACUCUUAGGUCAAAGACUUUGGAAAUUAAAAUCUUUGUCAACUCUUGCUGGCAUAUUGCUUAUUAGAGGGACCAUGAGCUAUCAUUUUCUUUUUCUCUCUUUUUUUAAGUGGAUACCGAGGUACCCCUAAUUCUACUACUGGACACUUGUCCAUUUUUUUCUGCGAGGUUGUCGAGCACUUGCUCCUUUUUAUUUCCUCAAAAUAUCUUUAUUUUUGCAUAGCCCAUGCCUCUAAUGCAAUAAUACUUCGGAAGAGUGAAUCUUUCUGAAUAAAUGUCUUGAUCU
rnacentral:lncRNA from 1 species